GAGGGGGGCUGCUCCUAGUACGAGAGGACCGGAGUGGACGCAUCACUGGUGUUCGGGUUGUCAUGCCAAUGGCACUGCCCGGUAGCUAAAUGCGGAAGAGAUAAGUGCUGAAAGCAUCUAAGCACGAAACUUGCCCCGAGAUGAGUUCUCCCUGAGACUAUAAGUCUCCUGAAGGAACGUUAAAGACGAUGACGUUGAUAGGCCGGGUGUGUAAGCGCAGCGAUGCGUUGAGCUAACCGGUACUAAUGAACCGUGAGGCUUAACCUUACAACGCCGAAG
rnacentral:rRNA from 2 species